rnacentral:rRNA from 1 species
UACGAAGGGGGCUAGCGUUGCUCGGAAUCACUGGGCGUAAAGCGCACGUAGGCGGAUUGUUAAGUCAGGGGUGAAAUCCUGGAGCUCAACUCCAGAACUGCCUUUGAUACUGGAGAGCUUGAGUCCGGAAGAGGUGAGUGGAACUCCGAGUGUAGAGGUGAAAUUCGUAGAUAUUGGGAAGAACACCGAUGGCGAAGGCAGCCAUCUGGACCGACACUGACGCUGAGGCGCGAAAGCGUGGGGAGCAAACAGG